GAGCUGUAAACAACCGUCCUCCACUAAGAAGAGAGAGGUGCAGAGCCGAACGGCUGUUAAUGUUAAUUUAAUAUUUGGAAGCGUGACCAACACGGACUGAAUGACUGCGUUCACUUCCUCCGUCGCCAUUGCUAAAACUGCGAGAAACUACGAUUUUAAAACAGCGCAGAAAAUCUACGUCAUCGUUUACGACUGCUCCUUCUGCUCGCUGAUUGGCCCGAUCGAAAUUCUACCGGAGAAAUCCAGGAUUCUUCCAGGAUUGGAAGCAGGUCAGCAGGCGGGGACACACCUCCUCCAAAACGGAGCAGAACGAGCAGAAAGCAGCAGGCCCUUUAGAGGACAGUUCCUUCUUGGAGAAUAUUUCAGAAGUUAUUUUGGUCCUGCUGACUGGCCCGAAAAGCUCCAGGGACUUUGAAAACAAGUUUUUCUCCUCUUCCCUCUGAGGUCCCUUUAGCGCCCCCUGGCGGCCCUCCCCACUUUGAAAAACGCAGUGACAGAGCGCUGACCUCAGGGUGAACUUCCUGCAAAGAGCUGAAGAAGGAGACGAAGGGCGGACGCCCAAAAGGUGCCAUUAAAGAUGGCGGGUGGCAGUUGCAAACCUUUUUACACAGAAUCUUGGACUUGAUGGAGGACUUGAACACCAGGUCCUUG